rnacentral:rRNA from 1 species
AUUGAACGCUGGCGGCAUGCCUUACACAUGCAAGUCGAACGGUAACAGGUCUUCGGAUGCUGACGAGUGGCGAACGGGUGAGUAAUGCAUCGGAACGUGCCUAGUAGUGGGGGAUAACUACUCGAAAGAGUGGCUAAUACCGCAUGAGAUCUACGGAUGAAAGCAGGGGAUCGCAAGACCUUGUGCUACUAGAGCGGCCGAUGGCAGAUUAGGUAGUUGGUGGGAUAAAAGCUUACCAAGCCGACGAUCUGUAGCUGGUCUGAGAGGACGAUCAGCCUCAGUUGGACUGUGACAGAGCCCAGACUCCUACGAGAUGCAGCAGUGGGGAAUUUUGGACAAUGGGCUCAAGCCUGAUCAAGCAAUGCCGCUUGCAGGAUGAAGGCCUUCGGGUUGUAAACUGCUUUUGUACGGAACGAAAAGCCCCGGGUUAAUACCCUGGGGUCAUGACGGUACCGUAAGAAUAAGCACCGGCUAACUACGUGCCAGCCGCCGCCGUAA